UACAGAGGUCUCAAGCGUUGUUCGGAUUCAUUGGGCGUAAAGGGUGCGUAGGUGGCGCCGUAAGUCAGGUGUGAAAUUUCGGAGCUUAACUCCGAAACUGCAUUUGAUACUGCGGUGCUUGAGGACUGGAGAGGAGACUGGAAUUUACGGUGUAGCAGUGAAAUGCGUAGAGAUCGUAAGGAAGACCAGUUGGCGAAGGCGGGUCUCUGGACAGUUCCUGACACUGAGGCACGAAGGCCAGGGGAGCAAACGGG
rnacentral:rRNA from 1 species